UCAGCCGGGUCGUCUAAUUUGCAUAUUUUCUGCUCUUCCUUGAAUAUCCCCAAGUCGAUUUUGCUGAGGAAAUAGAGAGGUGGAAUCAUCUGCCUUGCUUUAAGUGGUUGUUUUUCUUGUCCCUCGACUUCAACAGUUACUGCUGGGUUUGUUGUAGUUUCUGUCACCUCGGUCGUUGGAGUAGUUACUGCUGGGUUUGUUGUAGUUUCUGUCACCUCGGUCGUUGGAGUAGUUACUGCUGGGUUUGUUGUAGUUUCUGUCACCUCGGUCGUUGGAGUAGUUACUGCUGGCGUUGUUGUAGGUUCUGGCGUCUCGGUCAUUGUAGUAGGUACUGCUGGCGUUGUUGUAACUGGAUUAUCUACGAAUUCUUUGAGUUCAUUCAGCGUAUCAGUGAUUUCAUUUAGCUCUUUCUCAAUUUCCUUCCAGAUGUCGUCACUUGGUAAAGCUUCAGUUGUCGUUUGAGGGGCAGCUGUUGUUGUUGAAAUUUUUCCAGUUGUGUCAGACGCUGCUGUUGUUG